UUCUAACUUACCUCUACUCUAAACUCUAAACAAUAGUAACUUUUUACUAGACUCACAAUUUUAAAAACAAAUGGUUUUUUUUUUGUGUGAAAUAAACCUAAUAGGCCUAGUCUAUUUAUUUUAAAAUAAACCUUAUGCCUAGAUAUCUAUAUCUAAAUUUUCCAAAUGCAUUUUCAGAAGUUCGAAUGAGGAGAUGGAGAUGGCUGGGCCAUGUCCUACGCAAGAGCAAAAGAUGACUCCCCCAACAUGGCACUGGAAAACGAAAGAGGGGAAGACCACUGGGAACAUGGAGGAGAGAGAUGGAAGAAGAAGUGCAAGCUGCUGGCAAGACUUGGCAUGAACUAAAGUGGCUCGCCCAGGACAGAGUGGAAUGGCAGGGAUUUGUUGCUGCCCUAUACUCCACAGGGAGUGAUGAGGAUUAAAGAAAGCAGACACAGAUCCAGUGUUGGAAGAGGAAGUAUUUUACAUAAAAGAAAAAAAAAAACAGAUGUCAAAGCAGGUAUUGGCUGGUGCAGAAACAGCAUGAAAGGAUUUUUGUAUCUUUCCUGGACUGAUGACUUUCAUUCAACCUGAUCAUUUUUUAAUCUGCAUCAACUAAAACUUGUUAUAUAAAUCACUUUGUUGUACUCACACCUUAAACUUA